rnacentral:tRNA from 1 species
GGGGGUGUAGCUCAGAGGUAGAGUGCAUACUUAGCAUGUAUGAGGCAAGGCCAUGGGUUCAAAUCCCAGAAUUGCCA